AGUGAACGCUGGCGGUAGGCCUAACACAUGCAAGUCGAACGGCAGCACAGGAGAGCUUGCUCUCUGGGUGGCGAGUGGCGGACGGGUGAGGAAUACAUCGGAAUCUACUCUGUCGUGGGGGAUAACGUAGGGAAACUUACGCUAAUACCGCAUACGCCCUACGGGUGAAAGCAGGGGACCUUCGGGCCUUGCCCGAUUGAAUGAGCCGAUGUCGGAUUAGCUAGUUGGCGGGGUAAAGGCCCACCAAGGGGACGAUCCGUAGCUGGUCUGAGAGGAUGAUCAGCCACACUGGAACUGAGACACGGUCCAGACUCCUACGGGAGGCAGCAGUGGGGAAUAUUGGACAAUGGGCGCAAGCCUGAUCCAGCCAUACCGCGUGGGUGAAGAAGGCCUUCGGGUUGUAAAGCCCUUUUGUUGGGAAAGAAAUCCAGCUGGCUAAUACCCGGUUGGGAUGACGGUACCCAAAGAAUAAGCACCGGCUAACUUCGUGCCAGCCGCCGCGGUAA
rnacentral:rRNA from 1 species